UGUUUCCUGUGCCGCUUCAUUGGGAUUUCUGUCAAUAAAUGUCAUCAAUCAAUAAAAUUGACAAUUACAAAUUAUUACAAUUUUCGGAACUGUAGUAACACACACUUUCCAUGUACAGUUUGUAAGAAAAUACCUACUGUCCUACAUUUUAGAGGCGUACAUCCGACCUGGACACAUAAGGCAGUUUGUUUAUUAUGGAGGAUAAUCCGGCGAAACGUUUAAAAUCUACCCUUUCACCGGAUUUUGAAGAUGUCUUGGAAUCCGAUACUUUUGUUGAUAAAAGUGCGUUGAUGUCAGCAGUUUUUGAAACGGACAAAAAACCUAUGGUAUUGUGUACCGCACCGCGCCGAUUUGGCAAAACUGUAAACUUAACCAUGAUGCAACGAUUCUUGGAGUUGGAAGUUGAUGAAAAUGGAAAGGAGAAAGCAACGGUUUUGGAAGACAAAGACAAUUACAAACUGUUCAGUUCAGCAAGGUUCAACUUAAAAGUCAUGGAGAAUAAGAAGUUUGUAAAAACUCAUUUCGGACAAUAUCCGAUAAUCGAAAUAAAUUUUCUCUGUUCUGCUAACGUGACAAGCAAAUCUGAUGCAGUGAAUGUGUGUAGAAGAGCUAUAUCGCGGGCUUUUAAGCAACACAGAUACCUUUACGAAUCCAAAUUGUCACCGUUGAAAGACGAUGAAAAAGAGGAUUGCGAACAAUGGUGUGGCAAAUUUACCUACAAAGGAAUUCCAGAUGACGAAGUAAUCGAGGGGUUGGGAUGCUUGGCAGAUUAUCUGAAUAAGUUUCAUAAAAGAAAGGUUUUUCUACUCGUUGACGAGUACGACUCGAUCAUUUCAAAAGCGUUGUAUGAUGUGCAGAACGCUGAUCCAGAGACUGAGCUUAAAGAGCUAGAGAAAGCUGCCUCAUUCCCAAUUGAAGUAAUUGGAUAUGCUCUAAAAACAUUUCCUGAGAUCUUUAAAGGAGCGUUUAUUACCGGAAUUUUGGAUGUGGGUGGUGUAGCGAUUUCCACCCUAUUGGGUAAUGUAUUGCGAUGGCAAUUCGGAACCAACAAUCCGUGCCAAGAUUUCUAUGGAUUCACUGAAGAUGAAGUUUGUACUCUAUUUGAUCGGUUUGCAGUAAAGAAGGAAUUGAGAGAAAAAGCGAAGGCUAAAUAUAAUGGGUAUUUAAAUGGCUCGAAACAAUGCCUAUAUAAUCCUCAAACGAUUGUGCAGUUUUUGAAAAAUUUAUCUCUGGGAGAAGGUGCUUUAAAAAAUUAUUGGCAAGAAUCUGGUUACAUUCACAAUAUGUCUAAACUAUUUGAAGAGGGCAACGUGAGAACGUUGUUGUAUGAACUUCUACAAGGUGUUAAAGAAGAUUUUCAAUUCACGUUAGCACCGUUAGACUUAAGCGAUCUGAAAUCUUUGCAUAACAUAUUAGUUAAUCAAAAUUUGACUUGUUGCGAAGAAAUAGUUGUUCGAUUUCUUGUAUCUCUAGGAUACUUAACAUAUUCAUUUGAUGAUCACAAACUCCAAAUACCUAACGCUGAGCUAAUUGAUGAAUUUACGAAGCUGCUACGAGCUUAUUUUUUUGAAAGAUUUGGUAUUAACAGUGAAUUGGCUAACGCUUGUUCAGCAUCAUUUUCUAAGCUAACCAUUCUCUGUGAUGAAGGUGAUUCAUUAGCAAAGUUCAAAGAAGAAUUAGCAAAUUUUCAAAAUAGUAUAACCUGUCUACUUCAACGUUCAACACUUAUCGAUCCAUUGAAUGAGGCAGCUUUACAGAGUAUAAUUACAUUGACAUGUAGUAAAGCAGGAUUUCUCUUCGGAAACGAAAUAACAAUUCCAAUUCAUAACACCAAAGUUGAUAUAGUACUGUUUAAUGAUAAAUCUGGGAUAAUAAUGGAAUUAAAAUGUGGUGCAAAUACUGUACAAGACGCAUUUAAACAAAUCUUUCAAAAUUGGUACUACAAUGUUUUCACAAAUAAGAAGUAUUUUGAUGAACGUAAGAAAUCUCCUUCUCUUUCUUUUGUUAUGGCAAUGCAUGUGGAUUCUGACAAGAAAGGAUCUGUGAUGUGCCUGCAACGCAAGGAUGUUAUUCACGUUCUGGAUGAUCUGCAACUUGACGCUAGAGAGUCAUCGCUAGAAGGUCGCAUUGAGAUAGCUGUUAAUUCUAUGGGUGAACGUUUCAUUAACAGUUGUUACGCAAGAGCAAUUCUUGUCUCUUAACAUACCAGAGAAACCAAAAGCUGCGGUUCAGUUUUUGUUUGAAUUUAAAGUAGCUAUUUUUAAGUUCAACGCGGCAUGUUAAUUUCAGUUUCGAUCAACUAAAUCUGUUUCAUUUCAUAUUUCACAUUUAUAUAUAUAUAGUUAUAAUAAAACAUGAAUUACAAAGUUUAUAUUGUUUUAGUAGAAAUGCAAAGACUCCUUUUUGAUAUUGGACUUUAAUAAUUGGAAGCCGGUCUGAUGGGUUUUAACGGUUCAGUUACCCAAACCAGCUUGAUCAGGAAAUGAAAUCCACAAUAUUUCGGGGUGUUCAGGAUUGAUGGUCGUGCCGAUGAUUCUCCUCGAUAGACACAUACCUAUAAACGGUAUAAGCUGUCGUGAAAGAGGAGAUGCUGUAAGAAUAGAUCGGAUUGUAGUCAGGGAAUGUUUUUCGUACGACUGUCCGAUUGUUUCUAGAGUGACAGUGUCGGGGUAGUCUUUAGCCAGUUGGGCCAAAUAAGCAUUAAUCUUUAAAACAAUAACUAAAAACGGGAGUUAUUUUUUCCAAGUGUUACCUCAACGUGGCGUAAAUAUUGGUCAAAAGUAAUUUUUCCCAAACCUAAAGCUUGUCUCGAUUUGUGGUAGUGUUUUUCAGCCUGAAUGGCGGUUCCAACAUUUUCGAUUUCAAUGCUAAACUCAAGAUUGUUGAGCCCUCGUAUUUGGCACUAGACAAGCCCACGAGGGCUAGUACUAUCAGUACUGGCACUUUCAUUGCGAUAUCUACUGAGGUAUCGAGAGCAGAAUCUCUUUUAUAAACGUGGUGGAUAAACAACAGUCUAAUCUGCUGAUUCAAUUUGUCCUAAUUCUCUUUUAAUCCAGUGUUUUAACGGAUUACGUCUUCAAAUAUUUGUUUAGUGGUUAAAAAUCCAGCUUCAAUAGUUUAAUCCCGUGAUAUUUCAUCCUUGAGUGAUACAAGACUUUUGUCUAUUAUUAUUAGUUGUUACAAAAGAGCUAACAAAAGUAAAAACGAAUAAAAAAUUAAUCCUCGAUAAAAAUUAGUUUCAUCAAUAAUUUUUUUAGAAAUGUGUAAAAAGUGCCAUAAAUUGCGACUUCAUAAUUAAUUACCCGAUUUUAACAAAUUACUGAAUAAAAAAUUUCUCAAUUAUUUUAUAUCGUACAUAUUUUUGAAUUAAUGGUCCGACUAAUGCCAUUCAAAUACUUUCGUGUUAAUUAUUAUUUAUUACUUCUUGUUAGUGUGAUUAUUUAAUAUAAUGUUUGGGGCCCGUUUAUAAAAUGGUUUGUUAAAAUUUAAUUCGGUGUUAAAAGUUAACAACGCAAAUCAAAUCAAAUUUGCUAAUUUGUUAGUUGUUGCAAAUUAACUUAAUGGCCUUUAGAUAUAUAUAUAUAUAUAUAUAUAUAUAUAUAUAUAUAUAUAUAUAUAUAUUUAUAUAUAUACAAAAAUAAAAGUGUCUCAGAUCAAUGCAAAGCGCAAACAACAUUCUUUUUAUCAAAACUAAAUUACUUACAUAAUGAAAUUUGUAAAUGGUUUCUAAUAAUCUUAAGCAAAAAAUUUUUUCUUAAUUUCUGGGUUUCUGGGUCCAUUAGUUAUAACUAUAACUUACUAUAACUAUAAAGUCUACCUUUGUGCCCUAUUUCAAUAAAAAAAAAUGCAAAUCCGCUGUUGCUAUUUUCAUUAAAAAGGUAGAUCUUUAAAUUUAAACAGUCAGUAUACAGCGUGCUCAAAAACUGGCGCACCAACUCAUUGGUGUGUGGUAGAGAACUGGUUACAUAUAAAGGUAAAAAUAGUAAAAAAAUUCUUUGAAUUAAAGUUAUUGAUAAAUAACUAAUUUUAGAUAAAUGAUAUGUGGCAACGUUGUCUAACAGUCAUGAUCGCAAUAGAAUUUGAUCAACAAUAAAAAUAAAUUAUUUUUGAAACGGUUUCCUAGGAAAUAAUUCCCAGUGUUUGCACAUCUACACAUUGUGAUUUUUUGGAUGAAUUUUAAUUUUUUUAAAUUAAAAAAACUGCUAAAAUCUGAUAGUAAAUUUAAAAAUAAUUAUUCAUCGUUUUGUUACGGAACGAUUACCUGGUAAUGAAACAUAGAAAUAUAAAAAAAUAAUGAUAACUAAAGAAGUUAACACAAUAAGUUUGUAGCUCAAGAUUUUUUAAAAUAUGACUUUAGGAAUUUUUUUAACAUUUUUCCCGUGAUCUACACGUGCUUCUCAACAACGUACCACUGCGUUGGUGCGCCAGUUUUUGAGCAGCCUGUAGAUAAAUCUAGAUAAUUCUUUUGUUCUACACACAUUCACUGAAACUUGGUUAGAUAAUAACUUGAUAAUAUCGGGUGAUUCAAAAAUAUGUGGCAUAAUUUUAACCACGAAUACCCCUCUACAAUUAAGAAUAGAUAGGAUAGUAUUUACUGACCCACCACAAAAAAUUGGAAAAUUACAAUUUUUCAAAAAUUGGUAUGGAAAUAGUAAUUUUUGUAUUAAGUGCGCGAAAUGAGUGUUUUUUUAAUGGCGCCUGAGAAUGUUAUUUUAGUCGAGACCGCCAGGUCGAGACCUAAAAGACAUUCGAAGGCGCCAUUAAAACAUGAAUUUCGCCACGAAAUACAAACAACGUUUUUUCUACAGCCUCCAGAUGAAGAAAAAAGUAACAGAAAUUAGUUGGAACAAAAUGGUCUGAUAAAUCGAGUUGCUUGCAUGGUUACGAUGAUAAAUAAAAGUGAUAGUUGCGAAAAAUUUGUCACAAUAGGUAUUUUUGUUGAAGAAGUGUGAUGGAUUUUAGCAGCGAAAACGAAAUAGAUGCAAUUGCAAGCGCGGCAGUGUCGAAUCUUUUGCCUGCUAAAUCAAGACCGCAGUACGAAAAAACGUAUCUUCAGUUUCGGCAGUGGUGUUCUAUGAAAAAGAUUGAUCAAGUAACGGAAAAUGUUUUGUUGGCGUAUUUGGAAGAAAAGUCUACCACCUUAAAGCCACCAACACUCUGGGCCCUUUAUGCGAUGUUGAAAGCCACCUUAAACGUUAAAGAGAAUAUCGAUACACGUAAGUUUCCGAAGUUAGUGCCCUACCUGAAAAGCAAAAGCGUAGGUUACAGAAGCAAGAAGUCGCAAAUUUUAGACAAAGAAGACAUUAGCAAGUUUAUUAAUGAAGCAGAUGACAAGAUAUAUUUACUGAUGAAGACUGUGCUAAUUUUGGGUAUAUCGGGAGCCCUUCGACGUGAAGAAUUAGUUAAAAUGAAGCUAACUGACAUAGAAGAUAAACAGUCUGUCUUAAUUGUGAAGGUGCCUGAUACAAAAACCCACUGCGAACGAAUAUUUACUGUUUCAAAUUUAGAAAAUAUAGAAAUUGUCAGAAAAUAUAGAGCUUUGCGGCCUCCACGGGCGACUAGUGACCGUUUAUUUUUAAAGUAUACCAACGGAAAAUGUGUGAAUCAAAAUGUUGGAAUUAACAAAAUCGGAGAGAUACCAAGUUUGAUUGCAAAGUGGCUUAACAAAGACGAACCUAAAAAAUAUACUGGUCACUGCUUCAGAAGAAGCUCUGCCACUCUUUUGGCGAAUGCUGGAGGUGAUCUAAUUUCAAUUAAACGUCAUGGGGGCUGGAGAAGCAGCACAGUGGCAGAAAGUUACAUCGAGGACUCUUUGAAUAAUAAAAUUGAAAUUGCCAAUAAAAUUCAACCUUCUUCCUCCACAGAAGAAAACAAAAUCACUCAACCUUCUACAUCGGCUUCUUUUAAUGGCGAAAAUAACUUUCAUUUACAAGCGUCUUCACUCAGGCCUCUGGGGAUAAACGGGGGCACGUUUUCGUCAUGCACAUUUAAUUUUCAUAUGUCAAAGUAAAUAUCUAUUAUUAUUGUUUUGUAAUAUUGUUCUGUAUAAUUAUAAAACCUUUAAAACUA